rnacentral:tRNA from 1 species
GGCCUGGUAGCUCAGUUGGUAGAGCAGAGGAUUGAAAAUCCUUGUGUCGGUGGUUCGAUUCCGCCCGGGCCACCA